rnacentral:rRNA from 1 species
GACGAACGCUGGCGGCGUGCUUAACACAUGCAAGUCGAACGGAAAGGCCCUGCUUUUGUGGGGUGCUCGAGUGGCGAACGGGUGAGUAACACGUGAGUAACCUUCCCUUUACUUUGGGAUAACUUCAGGAAACUGGGGCUAAUACCGGAUAGGAGCUCCUGCUGCAUGGUGGGGGUUGGAAAGUUUCGGCGGUUGCGGAUGGACUCGCGGCUUAUCAGCUUGUUGGUGGGGUAGUGGCUUACCAAGGCUUUGACGGGUAGCCGGCCUGAGAGGGUGACCGGCCACAUUGGGACUGAGAUACGGCCCAGACUCCUACGGGAGGCAGCAGUGGGGAAUAUUGCACAAUGGGCGGAAGCCUGAUGCAGCAACGCCGCGUGCGGGAUGACGGCCUUCGGGUUGUAAACCGCUUUCGCCUGUGACGAAGCGUGAGUGACGGUAAUGGGUAAAGAAGCACCGGCUAACUACGUG